rnacentral:rRNA from 1 species
CGCUAGCUACAGGCUUAACACAUGCAAGUCGAGGGGCAGCAUGGUCUUAGCUUGCUAAGGCCGAUGGCGACCGGCGCACGGGUGAGUAACACGUAUCCAACCUGCCGUCUACUCUUGGACAGCCUUCUGAAAGGAAGAUUAAUACAAGAUGGCAUCAUGAGUCCGCAUGUUCACAUGAUUAAAGGUAUUCCGGUAGACGAUGGGGAUGCGUUCCAUUAGAUAGUAGGCGGGGUAACGGCCCACCUAGUCUUCGAUGGAUAGGGGUUCUGAGAGGAAGGUCCCCCACAUUGGAACUGAGACACGGUCCAAACUCCUACGGGAGGCAGCAGUGAGGAAUAUUGGUCAAUGGGCGAGAGCCUGAACCAGCCAAGUAGCGUGAAGGAUGACUGCCCUAUGGGUUGUAAACUUCUUUUAUAAAGGAAUAAAGUCGGGUAUGUAUACCCGUUUGCAUGUACUUUAUGAAUAAGGAUCGGCUAACUCCGUGCCAGCAGCCGCGGUAAUACGGAGGAUCCGAGCGUUAUCCGGAUUUAUUGGGUUUAAAGGGAGCGUAGAUGGAUGUUUAAGUCAGUUGUGAAAGUUUGCGGCUCAACCGUAAAAUUGCAGUUGAUACUGGAUAUCUUGAGUGCAGUUGAGGCAGGCGGAAUUCGUGGUGUAGCGGUGAAAUGCUUAGAUAUCACGAAGAACUCCGAUUGCGAAGGCAGCCUGCUAAGCUGCAACUGACA